UGUCAAGCAAGCUGAAGGGGGCUGAGAUUAUUCCCUCUGAAGGAAAUUUUAAAAAAGAAGAAAGAAAGAAAAAAAGCCAUAAUGCAGUUCCCAAUUUGAUUAGACCUACAUUGCCAUGAUCCCAUUCUGGCCUGCUCCUCCCACUGACAGCAUGAUUUGGACUUAAUACAGCUCUGGGAUGCCUUCAGCAUCACCUGCACGACACCGUUUUCACACCUUCCCAUGUUGGGACAGGAAAUACUAUCUGUUUGCUCACCCACACUUCUCAGCUCAUAUGUCCCUGAGGAAAAGGGGCCCAGGGGGAGCUGCACUUGAGAUGGGAUCUCCUGUAGCCCAGGCUGGAUUUAACCCUCUGUGUAGACACAGAUGACCUUCUGUGGCAAAUCUCCUUCUACCUCUAAGUAUUGUGAUCACAGGCCUGCAAUUUCUUUUCAUCUCAUCAUUUUACUGGCUCCCACAGGUGGUAUUGAGAGGCAGUAAAAGAGAAAGGAAUUAAACUCACAGGAAUGAUGCUUUCCAAAACAUUUUCAAGCACUUGGCUUUCUGCUGACGAUAUGUAGGGGGUGGGAGGAAGAUUGAUGUCCUAUGAUUAAACCCAACCCAACUCCUGCCUUUCUUGGAUAACAACUUUCUUUUCCCUAGUUUCUUUACACUCUAUUUGUCAAAACCUACUUAUUCUUCCAUGUGAAAUAUUUCUGUUUGUGUGAAAACUCUCCAAUGGCUUUCUUCCAUUCACACACUUCAGUAAUUGUUCUGGUCAGUAUUUCCUGGUACUCAAUUAUGAAAGUUAGCAUGCAUAUGCCACACAUUUUAUGCCCCUCGUUGUAUGCACAAUAUUAAUUUCCUUUUAACACUUUACUUUCAACCACUUUAAUUCUCACAAUUCUGUCUUAGUAGAUAGAUAUUUUUACCAUCCCAAUCUUAGCAAGGAAAAUAAGCGCCAAUAUCAGAGAAGGUAAGUUUUAAAUGGUGAGUUCACAGAUGCCAAACAGACCCAGCAAUUUUGUUCACAUGAACUGAGUGGCACACAUAAAGGCCUGAAGGCAUGAUAGCACUGGAUAUGGUUAUUUAUAAACGUAGUAAGUCACAGGGCUGGGCCUCUGGCUACAUGCCAGCUAUUAUACUUCGUUUGUACUUCAGGCAGUGAUAGACAGAUGGAAGGGAGAAGAUGCUGCUGUCAGCAGUCUAUUUUCAUUGGUGUACAAAGCCUGCAGAGGAAAAAUAAGCUGGGUCCGUUCAUGAAAGUCCCACGUGUGCUGGCAGGCAACUGGGACUUCAUCUAUUGUGUGCUGGGUACAUAAAAGAGCUUGAAUAGGGGGAUGAGAAGGUGACUAUAUCUGCCCAUGCAAUGUCAUGGAGUGAUUCCUUCCUUCUUAAAAAUAUAAAGUGCUUUGAACUUAUUAUGUGUUUUCUCAAGAUUUAAUUAAAACUGGAUUUGCAUUAAACACCUGUAAAUUCCUAAAUGAGCAACAAGAUCCACUGUUGAGUCUUUAGAGACUCUGUGAUGUCUAAGACACUUUAUGCUUGAAAGUAUUCAGUGAUGCAUGUAGAACUGACUUUCUCUUACUAAUUUGACUCUAACUUCUCCCUACAAACGUCUGUCUUUUCUUGCUUUAGCAGAUUAAAGUGUAGCGGAAAUGUACCAACACAGUGACAUUUUCUAUUUGCAGUAGGUCAUGCAAGAUCACCUGCCCUCUAGACUACAUCUUGAGAACACAAUUUAAUCAGUGCAUUUUCAAAAGCCCAGGGCAUGUCCUAUCAUACAGGAAUUGUAAAGUCCACUGAAAAACACUGUAACUAUAGAACAUGUUUGGUUUUUUAAAGUUCUAUGAGGAAAAUAAUUAUAUUUGAGCAAGAAGAUGUGUAUGUGUUUAUGUCUUGAAGUCAUCAUCAGUAAAGCAUGAAAAGUACUUUAUUAUACUCAGCUAAUUUUUAAACAUAUAUCCUUUUCAUUUUUUAUCCUUCUACCAAACAAACAAACAAAAAAGAAAUAUAAAUAACUCAUGUAAGGUGGUUAGUCUUGUAGGUCGAUCAAUGCUGAUUUAGGGCUACAUUCUUACAGCAGUCAAGAUAUUUUUCUUUGGAAAAAGAGAUCUACCAUGUUCUGCCUUCUCUCAUAGUGAAGUAAGUUUUUUUUUUCUAUUCUUUCAAGCAUUCCUUUUUUCCUUGAUGCCUUUUAUUCUGUACCCUUAGACCCAGAUAAUUGUAUUUAUUGUAAAGUAAUCUGAACACAUUUUAAAGGACAUUUACAAAUAUUCCCAUAACACUAUCAAUGCCCUUCAACAUGAAUGAAAUUCAAUGUUCCCUCUAUAGGGGUCUUGAACAUUACCCAACUUACCACUGGCACAUCUAUCACAGAAUGGAAGGAUGCUGUGGAGAUGCAUAGUUGACCAGUACCAUUUGUAGAGCAUCUUUUUCCCCAUAAAAUAGCAGUGUCAUUUUAACCUUGAAAGGUGAAAAGUGAUUUUUGUAUAAUGAUGAAAUUGAUCGUGUUAUCCUCUUCUGUUUUUUUUUUUAAUCACAGGUGUUAUUCCUUCUAGAUUAGAUCAGAGAAAGUUGAAAUAAUCCACUGCAUAGUAGAUUGUAUCUUUCUUCCUAUCACAGUAGAAAUUUUCCAUUUAUUUAAAAUUUUCAUGAGUAUCAUGAUUGCUUCUGUUUCUUUUCUCCAUCAUCAUAUGCCAAGAACUUGGUCAGGUGCAAGAGUCAAAAGAGUUAGCAACUGGUCUGGUACAGGCAUUAAUCAAUUAAAAUGGAUGUUCCUUGAAUAAACCAUAUUGUUGUGUACCCACAGCUCAGCACUUGGCAUAGAAUGGAGAACACAGUAAGUCAUUUGCAAAUGACUGCCAAAUAAAUAGAUAGAUGGACAAACUAACUAACUUGCCAGACAAAGCUACCUUCCAUCCAGUUUUAAAUUAUUCAAUAAUUCAAUAGUUUAAUUUUAUUCAAUCACUUUAGGAAUCCCUAUACUGUAAGCCCUUUCUAAAAAGUUAGUUAAGUAUUGAGUAAGGGAAAUGGAAAAAAAAAGAAAGUUCAAGAAAAAUAAUCUGUAUCUACACAAUUCUUACAAUCUAGUGUAAUAAGAAAUGAGAUACCUUCAUUAAUACUGAUAUAAAAACGUGAAAGGAAACAGUAAUUGUAAUUAACUUUUCAGGGCAACUGAGAUUCAAAGUAGAUCUAUUGGAUCCCAAAAACUAUGAGCAUCUACCAUGUAAAGUGAAGACUUUGAAACUGCAAAGAUCUAGAUUUGAAUCUCAGCUCCAGCAUGACCUUGGUGAGGUAGCUGUGGCAAAAUUAUUAAAUCAUUUUCUAAUCAUUUUCUUCUUAAAAUAGCUAUCAAAUCUCAUGUGAAUUAUAAACAAAAUGUUAUAAUAUGUAAUAAAGAUAUUUUACAUGGUAGACACUUUUCAUAGAUUAAUCUUUAUCAUACAUGAAACUUUGUAUUAAUAUAUAUUAAGUUGGAAUAUGGAAUAUGGCUAACCAUAAAAAGUCUAUUAUUAAAUGGAAAGCAGAUUACUAUCAUAAAAAAUUUAAAUUAGACACAGAAAAUACUAUUGGAGUCAGGGCAGACCCAGAAAUAAGAGUUAUCAUGUGACUUAUUAGUUCUGUGUAUGAGAGCAUGGUAUCUCAUAUAGUCAAACCUCUAACUUUUCUCAUCUAUACAGUGGAGUUACACGAAUACAAUAGAUCAUGGUGUGAAGUAAAAUGAAAAAAAAAAAAGCGAUUGCCACAUUGUACAUGUUUCAAACAUGGGGAACUUUAAAGUGCUCUGAAUGAAAAUGGUAAAAAUCCUCACUUCCCAUUUAACUAGAAUCAAAAUUGAUGAAAUUCUUGCCUUCCCUAAAACUACUACCAAUUUUUUCAAUUAAACUAUAUAAUAGGAUUAUUGAUGUCUUUAGGAAACUUGAAGGGAGUAAAAGAACUUAUCAGAUACCAUAUAUACAAAAUUCAGAUGUUUGAAAAUGAUAGGUAUCACAAGUUAUUCUAGGAAUAGCAAUCUACUACAUGUAUUGUCAAGGGCAAUUCAGUGCAGGGCAUUCUUGCAUCUGGAUUACUAAAAGGAUGCUAAAAUAAUAGUGUGAGCAAAAUAUUGGGAAUAAUUUUAAGUAUUAAAUCUUGACGCUUCUCAACGAAGUUAUCCUUGGCAAAUUAACCAACCUUGUACAUCUAUAAAUUAAAAGUGUAAAUUCUUUUUGUGCUAAUCAUUUUUGUGGUACAUGUGUACAGAGAGAGAGAGAGAGAGAGAGAGAGAGAGAGAGAGAGAGAGAGAGAGAGAGACAGAGAGAGAGAGAGAGAGACAGAGAGAGACAGAGACAGAGAGAGAGACAGAGACAGAGAGAGACAGAGACAGAGAGAGAGACAGAGACAGAGAGAGACAGAGAGCGAGAAAGAGAGAGAGAGAGAGAGAGAGAGAGAGAGAGAGAGAGAGAGAGAGAGAGAGAGAGAGAACAAGAGAGAACCCUCCCCACCUUCCUCUCAACCAAAGACAUCACUAUUGCCCAUUUCUGGCUUCUAUGGUUUGGGCUAUCCUAUUAUUCUAUAGCUUACAACUUUCUUGCUGUAUUUUUAGGGUAUUUAAAAGUACUGACAAUAUAACAUGAGAUGUUUAAUUCUACAAAAUCUAAUAAAUAUCAAGGUAACAAUAAAGUUAAUUUUUCAUAAAUGUACAUGAUUAGUUAUUAUAUAAUGUCACUCCAGAAUAAAAAAUAGACUGUUUAAAUGGUGUAAAUUCUAUGAUAGUAGAGGAUUUUUAAAAUAGAGAUAACUACUUGACCUCCUCACAGGGCUUUGCAGUUAUAGGAAUAUUUUAAAAAAAUAAAAAAUAAUAAUUAAAUGUUAUUAAUUGGAAUAUGUGUGUCAUCUAACAAAGUGACCAACAGGUUACUGUUACAUAAGCAGUAAGAAGAACUCAGAGUUAAAAACUAGAAUAUACCUAUAAACUUGAGGGCAAAACCUUAAGCAGUGAAAGUUUUGAAAACCAUUUUUCCCAGACUUCUUGUGGGUACAUGUGCAAAGUCUUACAUUCUAUCUGUCUGAAUCUCCUUCCAUUUGUCUCAUGCAACUGUGACACAGGAUAACUGACUGCCCUUCUAGUGUUCUUCAGUGAUUGGUAAUCAAAACUUCAACGAUCUCUAGACCACUGUUUUUGAAGUAUUUUAUUAUCCCUUUUGAUUUAUUUAUUUAUUGUCAUAUUUACAAAGUAUAAAAUCAUAAGGCUUUUGACAAACUUUUAAACUCAUAUCAUCAUGGGAACCAUCAGCAAAGAAGAUAAAGAUCAGGUCCUUUAUACCAGAAGUUUCCUCCUAUCUGUGAUUCCUCCCCUUGUCUGAUGCCUCCCUCAUUGAUAAUCACCAAGCUGAUUGCUGUUUUUAGGGUUUCUUGUUUACAGAAUGUUCUAUGAGUGGAAUUAUAGCCUAUGUAGUCUGGUUUCUCUCAGCAACUCAUUUGAGAGUCAUCUAUGUUGUUAUGUGUUUCAAUAAUUCAUUUGUUUAGGUUGGAUUGAAGUAUUCCAUUGGGGAGACGGAUCAUCAUUUAUCCAUUAAUUACUCGGUGGACUUUUGGUGUCCUUCCAGUUAUUGAUUUUACAGACAAAGCUUCUAUAGAUAUGUGUGCGCAGAUGUUACAUAAAUAUUUGGUUUCAGUCUUUUAGGAACAAAUGUGUAGAGAUGUGACUGUGGGUUUCUAGUACGUGUGUGUCUAACUUUAUAUGAAGCUGUCCUCUGUCUUCCAGAGUGAUUGAACCAUUCUGCCUCCCAACAACAAUGUGUGCAAAUAAUCUUCAUCAACAUUUGAUAUUGUCACCUUUUGUCCUUUUCCUUGAAUCAUUCUACGUGUCUGUAGCGUCAUCUCAUUGUGAUUUUGAUAUUUUUUUUUUACAUUUUAAUACAAAAGAAUUAAAAACGUGAGACCAUUUAUCUACAUCUCUGCCUAUAGUUUAGUGUGAAAUGGCUUCACUGUCGUGAAACGUGUUAAUGUCUUUAGUAAAUUCCUUCCUCCAGGAGUAA